UGAUUUCCAAUUUUUUAAAAUUUUUAUUUAGCUUUGUCUAAAUAAUAAUAAUAAUAAUGAUGAUAAUAAUAAUAAUAAUGAUAAUUGCUCUUGUAUAUUUUAAUUUUUCUUUUUUUGUUUUGUCGUUUCCCAGCCUAUCUUUUGUUGGCACCGUCUCUUUUUGGUCUCUGAAUCUUGCUAAAGUUUAAAUGUGACACUGUACAUUGUGUGUGUGUGUGUGUGUGUGUGUGUGUGUGUGUGUGUGUGUGUGUGUGUGUUG